ensembl:lncRNA TARID TCF21 antisense RNA inducing promoter demethylation
AAGUGCUGGGAUUACAGGUGUGAGCCACCACGCCCGGCCACAGUUGACCUGAUUCAAAGGAUGGGUCAGAAGUAUGUGCUCUGGAGCCACGCAAAUCUGCUUCAAAUUCCAGUUCUGCCAUUUAGAUAGCAGGUUAUCUACAGAUACAGAAACCAUCUAGGAGGUCUGGUGUUGGAUACAACUAUUUGUACCUUGUAAAAUUCUUACCUCUAAAUCAUUAAAAAACAAAUGAGUAUCAGCAAGAUUAAAAAUCAUUUCUUCCAUGCGGAGUCCAAGGGUUACAGCCAUGGGGGGAUCCUGUAAAGAAAAUGUACACAUAAUGAGCUUACUAAGUCACUGGGACAGCUAAUUCUAAGUGAGCAGAUUACAGCACUGCAUUUUUCCAGCUAAAGGACUCACAGAUCCAAGAAUCCCAGAAAGAUGACUGGACAUUUGGUGGGUGUAGCCUUAGCAAUGCUGGGCACCCUCCAUCUUGCCAAACUGCUGUGAGGGAGCUGCCAGCACCUGCAAUUCCACUGUUUUAUCAGGCAUGUGAGAAUGAAACAUACUUCUGGAUUGAACCCAAGUUUUAUACAGAGAUGUUUGCUCAUUUUCAUUAGAUGUUUGUAGAAUUAUGGGCACCUUAUGAAUCAAGAGUUGCUUUUUUUUAAUUUGCAUUUAAGUGUAGUGAAUGUUGAGUUUAGGGUCUAAAAUGAGGUGAUAGCAAAAUCUUGGAUAGAGGAAAAAAGUGGGAUAAUAAAGGCACUAACAGGG